rnacentral:rRNA from 1 species
CCUACGGGAGGCUGCAGUGAGGAAUAUUGGUCAAUGGGCGCAAGCCUGAACCAGCCAUGCCGCGUGCAGGAAGACGGCCCUAUGGGUUGUAAACUGCUUUUAUACCAGAGGAACCCCAAUACUAGUAUUGGUCUGACAGUAUGGUAUGAAUAAGCAUCGGCUAACUCCGUGCCAGCAGCCGCGGUAAUACGGAGGAUGCGAGCGUUAUCCGGAUUCAUUGGGUUUAAAGGGUGCGUAGGCGGGAUAUUAAGUCAGUGGUGAAAACUUCAUGCUCAACGUGAAGCUUGCCGAUGAUACUGAUAACCUUGAGUGUGAUUAAUGCCGGCGGAAUGCGACAAGUAGCGGUGAAAUGCUUAGAUAUGUCGCAGAACACCGAUAGCGAAGGCAGCUGGCAGAGUCGCAACUGACGCUGAGGCACGAAAGCGUGGGGAUCGAACAGGAUUAGAUACCCCAGUAGUC